GGUUCUAUGGUGUAACGGUAGCACAAGAGAUUUUGGUUCUCUUAGAGACUGUUCGAGUCGGUCUAGAACUA
rnacentral:tRNA from 1 species